GGCUGGUCUAAGUGCAGUGGUGUUUAUGACUAAUUGAUCACAAUCACCUACAGAUUUCUUUGCUUCCCCACUCCCACUGUUUCACUUGACUAGCCUUAA
rnacentral:Y_RNA from 1 species